CUGACCACAACACAGAGAUAGCUGCACUGCUUGCAAAUCUUCACUAAUGCUGUUGCUUCUGUUCUCUGGGAGAACUUUUAAUCUAGGACCAGACACUAAAAUUGAACUCUGGAUCCAGGGUUCUACUUUGUCCUUGAAGCAUGAGGCUGGUGACAGGAGUAGCUGUGUUUCUGACUUUGGCAGCUCUCUCUGAUGCCAAGUCUACCCAGCCCGACGCCAUGGUCUGUGCUGAAGGAGAAGCUGUAAACCUGCCUUGCAACCACUCUUCCAUCAGUACAAAUGAGUAUAUACACUGGUAUCGGCAAGGUACCAGACAGAGUCCACAGUAUCUAAUUCACAGUUUACAAAACUCUGUGACCAACGAAGUGGCAUCUCUGACCAUUGCAGCAGACAGGAAGUCCAGUACCUUGAUCCUGCCUCACGUUACCCUGGGAGACACUGCCGUGUACUACUGCACCGUGAGAACGCACACUGGGACAGACGGGGCUGCACCUGUGCAAUAUCUCCCUAGUGGCAAGUGCGUGUGUGUGUGGGGGGGAAGGCAGCAUAUUCAGAACCAAAGAUCAAUAGGAGUCACAGAGUAAUCAGAAAAGAGAACAAUGAAGACAAAGGAAAAAGGAAAAUGGAAAAGGAAAAGAAGAGAAACAUGAUGAAGGUCGAAAAGACAAGCCAUAAGCAUUUUUUGUUGAUGUGGCUGAGAAGAAUAAUGUGGCUGAAAGGGCUAAGAAUGAUCAUUUUGAUGUAGCAAUAAAAUGA